rnacentral:rRNA from 1 species
GAACGCUGGCGGCAUGCCUUACACAUGCAAGUCGAACGGUAACAGGUCUUCUGAUGCUGACGAGUGGCGAACGGGUGAGUAAUACAUCGGAACGUGCCCAGUAAUGGGGGAUAGCUCGGCUAAAGCCGGAUUAAUACCGCAUACGCCCUGAGGGGGAAAGUGGGGGAUCGCAAGACCUCACGUUAUUGGAGCGGCCGAUGGCUGAUUAGCUAGUUGGUAGGGUAAAGGCCUACCAAGGCGACGAUCAGUAACUGGUCUGAGAGGACGAUCAGCCACACUGGGACUGAGACACGGCCCACACUCCUACGGCAGGCAGCAGUGGGGAAUUUUGGACAAUGGGGGAAACCCUGAUCCAGCAAUGCCGCGUGUGCGAAGAAGGCCUUCGGGUUGUAAAGCACUUUUGUCAGGGAAGAAAUCCUUUGGGCUAAUACCCUAGGGGGAUGACGGUACCUGAAGAAUAAGCACCGGCUAACUACGUGCCAACAGCCGCGGUAAUACGUAGGGUGCAAGCGUUAAUCGGAAUUACUGGGCGUAAAGCGUGCGCAGGCGGUUGUGUAAGACAGGUGUGAAAUCCCCGGGCUUAACCUGGGAAUUGCAUUUGUGACUGCACGACUAGAAUGUGUCAGAUGGUGGUGGAAUUCCACGUGUAGCAGAGAUAUGCAUAAAUAUGUGGAGGAACACCAAUGGUCAAGGCCUCCCCCUGCGAUAACACUGACACUCAUGCACGAAAGCGUGGGGAGCAAACAGGAUUAGAUACCCUGGUAGUACACGCCGUAAACGAUGUCAAGUAGUCGUUGGGGAUUUACUUCCUUGGUAACGUAGCUAACGCGUGAAGUUGACCGCAUGGGGAGUACGGCCGCAAGGUUAAAACUCAAAGGAAUUGACGGGGACCCGCACAAGCGGUGGAUGAUGUGGAUUAAUUAGAUGCAACGCGAAAAACCUUACCUACCCUUGACAUGGCAGGAUCUUUCCAGAGAUGGAUUGGUGCUCGAAAGAGAACCUGCACACAGGUGCUGCAUGGCUGUCGUCAGCUCGUGUCGUGAGAUGAUGUGGUUAAGUCCCGCACCGAGCGCAACCCUUGUCAUUAGCUGGUACGAAAGGGCACUCUAAUGAGACUGCCGGUGACAAACCGGAGGAAGGUGGGGAUGACGUCAAGUCCUCAUGGCCCUUAUGGGUAGGGCUUCACACGUCAUACAAUGGUCGGUACAGAGGGUUGCCAAGCCGCGAGGUGGAGCCAAUCCCAGAAAGCCGAUCGUAGUCCGGAUCGCAGUCUGCAACUGGACUGCGUGAAGUCGGAAUCGCUAGUAAUCGCGGAUCAGAAUGCCGCGGUGAAUACGUUCCCGGGUCUUGUACACACCGCCCGUCACACCAUGGGAGUGGGUUAUACCAGAAGUGGCUAGUCUAACCGCAAGGAGGGCGGUCACCACGGUAGGAUUCAUGACUGGGGU